AUUGAACGCUGGCGGAAUGCUUUACACAUGCAAGUCGAGCGGCAGCGCGGGGGCAACCCUGGCGGCGAGCGGCGAACGGGUGAGUAACAUAUCGGAACGUACCCAGUCGUGGGGGAUAACUAUCCGAAAGGAUAGCUAAUACCGCAUACGUCCUGAGGGAGAAAGCGGGGGAUCGCAAGACCUCGCGCGAUUGGAGCGGCCGAUAUCGGAUUAGCUAGUUGGUGGGGUAAAGGCUCACCAAGGCGACGAUCCGUAGCGGGUCUGAGAGGACGACCCGCCACACUGGAACUGAGACACGGUCCAGACUCCUACGGGAGGCAGCAGUGGGGAAUUUUGGACAAUGGGGGCAACCCUGAGUCCAGCCAUGCCGCGUGAGUGAAGAAGGCCUGGUGUAAG
rnacentral:rRNA from 1 species